UGUAUGUGAAGUAGAGGAUCUGCACAUACAGGCCUCCACGAAAGAUUAUUUUAGAUUUUUAGAGAUUUGAUCUCUUGUUCCACUGCUAAUCAGGUAAGGAUUUGAUCCUUAUUCAUGUAAACUAAUAGAAAAAUUUUUAGAUGCAACUUGAACUAUCUGAACAGAAAUAAUUUUUCUUCCCUUCAAGCUAGUCCUAAGGUCCUAGUUCAAGAGGAGAGGAAGCUUGUCACCAGUCGCCAAUGACCAUGAGGAUGUGCAGAGGGGCAUCGAAUGCAUCACAGCAUUCUAAUGGUUGAUGAUGUCACUUGAAACUAAUCC
rnacentral:lncRNA from 1 species